rnacentral:rRNA from 1 species
UGCGAAGGGGGCGAGCGUUGUUCGGAAUUACUGGGCGUAAAGGGCGCGUAGGCGGCGACCCAAGUCAGAUGUGAAAGUCCUGGGCUUAACCUGGGGACUGCAUUUGAUACUGGGUUGCUUGAAUUCGGGAGAGGAUAGCGGAAUUCCCAGUGUAGAGGUGAAAUUCGUAGAUAUUGGGAAGAACACCGGUGGCGAAGGCGGCUAUCUGGACCGACAUUGACGCUGAGGCGCGAAAGCGUGGGGAGCAAACAGG